GUUUUCGAAUCUGUCGAAUUUGCAGUGAGGCCGGGGCAAGUUUUCGAGCAUUAUGGCAUAAUCGAUAGAUUCCCGUUCAGUAAGAGAAUUGAAAAUAUUGGCUUGACGCCAGAGGCGACGGCGACGAGGACGACGACGAAGACUACAACGUCGACGAGCGAGUGUAAAUGCCGCCAAAAUAAGCACGCGGCAAAAGGACGAGUGGACGCCUAUCGAGUGAAGUUCUCUUGAGAGCCCGCGCCAUGGAUACAUUGAUACAUAGGCAACAAACAAAUCAAGUUCAAACGCGACCCUCCGUUCAAAGAUAAUCUACGCGCCGGUAAGGUGUUACGUAAACUUCAAUCACACGAUUGCAAUGACGAA